AUCCCGUGAUGAGGGCACUUCCUUAAUAGCUCCUUAAAUAUCUCACAUGCAUCAUACAAUGAUUCCCCUUUCGUCUGGUAAAAAUUAUUAAUUUCCUCUCUCAACUU